rnacentral:rRNA from 1 species
CCCAAGAGAUCGGGAUAACACCUGGAAACAGAUGCUAAUACCGGAUAACAACAGAUGAUGCCUAUCAACUGUUUAAAAGAUGGUUCUGCUAUCACUCUUUGGAUGGACCUGCGGUGCAUUAGCUAGUUGGUAGGGUAACGGCCUACCAAGGCGAUGAUGCAUAGCCGAGUUGAGAGACUGAUCGGCCACAUUGGGACUGAGACACGGCCCAAACUCCUACGGGAGGCAGCAGGG